AGUGAACGCUGGCGGUAGGCCUAACACAUGCAAGUCGAACGGCAGCACAGUAAGAGCUUGCUCUUACGGGUGGCGAGUGGCGGACGGGUGCGGAAUACAUCGGAAUCUACUUUUUCGUGGGGGAUAACGUAGGGAAACUUACGCUCAUACCGCAUACGACCUACGGGUGAAAGCAGGGGAUCUUUGGACCUUGCGCGAUUGAAUGAGCCGAUGUCGGAUUAGCUAGUUGGCGGGGUAAAGGCCCACCAAGGCGACGAUCCGUAGCUGGUCUGAGAGGAUGAUCAGCCACACUGGAACUGAGACACGGUCCAGACUCCUACGGGAGGCAGCAGUGGGGAAUAUUGGACAAUGGGCGCAAGCCUGAUCCAGCCAUACCGCGUGGGUGAAGAAGGCCUUCGGGUUGUAAAGCCCUUUUGUUGGGAAAGAAAAGCAGCAGGUUAAUACCCCGCUGUUCUGACGGUACCCAAAGAAUAAGCACCGGCUAACUUCGUG
rnacentral:rRNA from 1 species